CGCACAUUGCGCCCCUUGGUAUUCCGGGGGGCAUGCCUGUUCGAGCGUCAUUUCAACCCUCAAGCACCGCUUGGUCUUGGGCCGCGCCGGCGACGGCGGGCCUCAAAAAUAGUGGCGGCGCCAUCGUGUCCCUCAGCGUAGUAAUUCUUCUCGCUGCUGGGUCCCGGUGGCCGCUGGCCAGCAACCCCCAAUUUUUCUAUGGUUGACCUCGGAUCAGGUAGGGAUACCCGCUGAACUUAA
rnacentral:misc_RNA from 1 species